GUCCCCACUUCAGCCUACCUGUCACCCAUGUGACUCCCGGGUAAUGCACCACUUCUAAACUGUCACGGGACUACUGCUUUUAGCAAAAAUGGGUGGUACUAAGCAACACUUAGGGAGUGCUUAGUCGGAGGAAUUGGGGUCUGGAAUAGCAAUCAAAAUGGGUGGCACCUAUUCCAAUCACUUAGUUGGAGGGAGUUUGAUUUCGAUUUCGAUUUCAGAGUGGAACGAAAAUGGUCCAAUCUAUCUAAAACUCAAUUCC
rnacentral:lncRNA from 1 species